rnacentral:rRNA from 1 species
GAUGAACGCUGGCGGCGUGCCUAAUACAUGCAAGUCGAGCGAAUGGAUUAAGAGCUUGCUCUUAUGAAGUUAGCGGCGGACGGGUGAGUAACACGUGGGUAACCUGCCCAUAAGACUGGGAUAACUCCGGGAAACCGGGGCUAAUACCGGAUAACAUUUUGAACCGCAUGGUUCGAAAUUGAAAGGCGGCUUCGGCUGUCACUUAUGGAUGGACCCGCGUCGCAUUAGCUAGUUGGUGAGGUAACGGCUCACCAAGGCAACGAUGCGUAGCCGACCUGGGAGGGUGAACGGCCACACUGGGACGGAGACACGGCCCAGACUCCUACGGGAGGCAGCAGUAGGGAAUCUUCCGCAAGGGACGAAAGUCUGACGGAGCAACGCCGCGUGAGUGAUGAAGGCUUUCGGGUCGUAAAACUCUGUUGUUAGGGAAGAACAAGUGCUAGUUGAAUAAGCUGGCACCUUGACGGUACCUAACCAGAAAGCCACGGCUAACUACGUGCCAGCCGCCGCAGUAA